rnacentral:rRNA from 1 species
AAAGAGAGCCGUAACACAGGUGCUGCAUGGCUGUCGUCAGCUCGUGUCGUGAGAUGUUGGGUUAAGUCCCGCAACGAGCGCAACCCUUGUCAUUAGUUGCUACAUUCAGUUGGGCACUCUAAUGAGACUGCCGGUGACAAGCCGGAGGAAGUGGGGAUGACGUCAAGUCCUCAUGGCCCUUAUAGGUGGGGCUACACACGUCAUACAAUGGCUGGUACAAAGGGUUGCCAACCCGCGAGGGGGAGCCAAUCCCAUAAAGCCAGUCGUAGUCCGGAUCGUAGUCUGCAACUCGACUACGUGAAGUCGGAAUCGCUAGUAAUCGUGGAUCAGAAUGUCACGGUGAAUACGUUCCCGGGUCUU